rnacentral:rRNA from 1 species
UGGGGAAUAUUGCACAAUGGGCGCAAGCCUGAUGCAGCAACGCCGAGUGAGUGAUGAAGGCUUUCGGGUCGUAAAACUCUGUCCUAUGGGAAGAAAAAAAUGACGGUACCAUAGGAGGAAGCCCCGGCUAACUACGUGCCAGCAGCCGCGGUAAUACGGAGAGGGCAAGCGUUGUUCGGAUUUAUUGGGCGUAAAGCGAGCGUAGGCGGUAUGGUAAGUCGGAUGUUAAAGACCCACGGCUCACCCGGGGGAAUGCGUCCGAUACUGCCGUACUGGAGUGUGGGAGAGGGAAGUGGAAUUCCUGGUGUAGCGGUGAAAUGCGUAGAUAUCAGGAGGAACACCUGUGGCGAAGGCGGCUUCCUGGCCCAUAACUGACGCUGAAGCUCGAAAGCGUGGGGAGCGAACG